rnacentral:misc_RNA from 1 species
CAAUUUGUUGUCCAAGCAAGGAUGAAUUUAAGAACUAUUUUUUUCUUGUUUCUUGGGUUUGCGAUGGCAAAAUUCUAAGUAAUAUUAUAAAUGACUUUAUUUUGGAAAAUUUUUCGUUGUGGUAUGGAGAAAAUUUCUUUCAACCAGCUGCAGUUUUGCAACUUUGUUACUGUGCCUCUAUCACAUUCUUAAUUUGUCCCUUCUAUGUAGAAGCAAAAGACAAUCAACUCUAAGUUAAUUUACUUUUCGAAAUGUUUUUGAAAUCCCAUAAACCAAUUCAAUUGCUAUUUCUUGUGAUAUUCUUGACCAUAUGUUGGAGGUGAAAUAAUGAUGCCCUUGAUUACUUACUGCAGCUUAACUCAAAAAGUUUAUCAAUUGACUUCAAAUACUUAGACUGAGAAAGCCUAUAGAUACAAGGCUUAAUUGGUCAAAUGGUUAAGUGCUAGUCAUUCUUGGUUGGAUAUUAAUUUUGCUUUUCUCAAUUUCUGACUUUCCUUUUUCUCUCUAGUCUGUACAGAACAAUUUCCCAAAAUCUACUU